UUCAGCAGGAGUGAGUGGACUGAAGGUUGCAUGUUUUCAGCUGCGGUACAACAGCAACGAUUGUAUGAAGGGCAAAGUGUUUUUGGAGGCGUUGUAGUUGACAGCAGCUGGGAAACUUUUGCAGUGCAGUAAGGAAUAUGCAAAUACUAAGUAUAAGAAAUGAUGGAAAAUAUUACCGAAAGUUGGACCUAUUACGUGUACGUGCUGCUGACACUGGUUCCAGUCUAUUUGGCAUUUCAAUUAAUUAAGUUUUUCGGCUGGGAAUUGUUUGUCAACAACUGACACAACUUACCAAAUAAAAAUAACAACAAGAAGCGCAUACAUACGUGGCAAAGGCGUUUUUAACCAGCUGCGUUGAAGCUAAAGCUGAUAAAAUAUUUAUACAAAAAAAAAA